AUUGAACGCUGGCGGCAGGCUUAACACAUGCAAGUCGAGCGGAGAUGAGGUGCUUGCACCUUAUCUUAGCGGCGGACGGGUGAGUAAUGCUUAGGAAUCUGCCUAUUAGUGGGGGACAACAUUCCGAAAGGAAUGCUAAUACCGCAUACGUCCUACGGGAGAAAGCAGGGGAUCUUCGGACCUUGCGCUAAUAGAUGAGCCUAAGUCGGAUUAGCUAGUUGGUGGGGUAAAGGCCUACCAAGGCGACGAUCUGUAGCGGGUCUGAGAGGAUGAUCCGGCAAACUGGGACUGAGACACGGCCCAGACUCCUACGGGAUGCAGCAGUGGGGAAUAUUGGACAAUGGGGGGAACCCUGAUCCAGCCAUGCCGCGUGUGUGAAGAAGGCCUUAUGGUUGUAAAGCACUUUAAGCGAGGAGGAGGCUACUGAGACUAAUACUCUUGGAUAGUGGACGUUACUCGCAGAAUAAGCACCGGCUAACUCUGUGCCAGCAGCCGCAGUAAUAC
rnacentral:rRNA from 1 species